rnacentral:rRNA from 1 species
UACGAAGGGGGCUAGCGUUGCUCGGAAUCACUGGGCGUAAAGGGCGCGUAGGCGGAUCUUUAAGUCGGGGGUGAAAGCCUGUGGCUCAACCACAGAAUUGCCUUCGAUACUGGGGGUCUCGAGACCGGAAGAGGUGAGUGGAACUGCGAGUGUAGAGGUGAAAUUCGUAGAUAUUCGCAAGAACACCAGUGGCGAAGGCGGCUCACUGGUCCGGUUCUGACGCUGAGGCGCGAAAGCGUGGGGAGCAAACAGG